GUCUACGGCCACAUCACGUUGAAAACACCGGUUCCCGUCCGAUCACCGAAGUUAAGCAACGUCGGGCCCGGUCAGUACUUGGACCGUCUGGGAACACUGGGUGCUG
rnacentral:rRNA from 1 species